UUUACUGACGCUAAAGCUCGAAGGUGCGGGUAUCGAACAGGAUUAGAUACCCUGGUAGUCCGCACGGUAAACGAUGGAUGCCCGCUGUUUGCGAUAUACUGUGAGCGGCCAAGAGAAAUCGUUAAGCAUCCCACCUGGGGAGUACGCCGGCAACGGUGAAACUCAAAGGAAUUGACGGGGGCCCGCACAAGCGGAGGAACAUGUGGUUUAAUUCGAUGAUACGCGAGGAACCUUACCCGGGCUUGAACUGCAGGAGAAGGAUACAGAGAUGUUGACGCCCUUCGGGGCUCCUGUGGAGGUGCUGCAUGGUUGUCGUCAGCUCGUGCCGUGAGGUGUCGGCUUAAGUGCCAUAACGAGCGCAACCCUUUUCUUCAGUUGCCAUCAGGUGAUGCUGGGCACUCUGGAGACACUGCCACCGUAAGGUGUGAGGAAGGUGGGGAUGACGUCAAAUCAGCACGGCCCUUACGUCCGGGGCUACACACGUGUUACAAUGGGUGGUACAGAGAGUCGGUCGUCUGCAAAUGCGAUCCAAUCCUUAAAGCCAUCCUCAGUUCGGAUUGGGGUCUGCAACCCGACCCCAUGAAGCUGGAUUCGCUAGUAA
rnacentral:rRNA from 1 species